UCCAUCCAGCAAGGAGACAAACCGCUCCCUCCUCUCCCCGGCCCACUGUGGACGCGGGGCCAGAUGAUGAAGUCAGAUCGCAAAGCACAUCUAACUGCUUCUAAUGCUCAGUUUUAUGGGUCAACUUGGCUAGGCCGUGGUCUUUUGGCCACACGUUAUUCUGGAGGUUUCUGAAGGUACUUUUUUUUCUCGAUGAGACUGACAUGUAGAUCAGUAGGCCUGGGUUAAAGCAGAUUACUCUCCAUAAUGUGGGUGGGCCUCAUCCCAUCAGUUGGAAGGUUCGAAGAGAAAAAAAAAGACUGAGGUCCCCCCGGGGGAAAGAGAAUUCGGACAGCAGACUGCCUUUGGAUCCUCGCUGCAACAUGAGUUCCUCACUGGGUCUCCGAGCUGCAGAGACAGAUAAAGAGAGAACGUCUCACACCUGCAGCUGAUGACAAGACAAAUCCGAGGUUUCCAGUCUUCACGGCCCUCAGAGGACCUGCCCUGAAGCUUCUCUGGAAGGCAGGUCAAAGCUUCCAACCCUCCCCCGCCUCCCCACUGCUCUCUGCUUUUACCAGCCUCCCCUCUGGCUCAUCUCCCUCCUGCAGGGAAGCGUGCCUCUUAAUCCACCGAGGAAAUCAAGGCCAUCAAGGCCAUCGGCAGGAAUUUCCAAAAGUGGUCACGGGCCUGUAGCAUCAGCGUCGGUCAGCAUCCCCUGGCAACCGGGCAGACCCUGGGCCCCCAUCCCGAUCAAGCUCCGCAUCGUGGCUCCUCUGCAGGUGCGGAUGAGAGAAGCCACGCACAUGUAAGGACCCUCUGUCCCUCCUCCCCCGGAGGAAGCAGAGUCAGGAAGCCAGACGCUCAGGUCUCUCCCAUUUAAAUACAAUGCGGGUCUCUCCCACAGCUUUCCUUGAUGUCUUUCUUCUCCUUGUCUCCUUCCGUCUCCCAUCGGUUCCUCACUCCACUCUCAUCCUCUGGCCUCGAGUUACCCUCUUGCACUAAAACCGCUCUUGUUAGUUUCCAAUGACAUCUGUGUGGCCGGAAUCAGCAGAUACCUCCCGACCAUCAUUGCUGCAGGAUUUAACGUUGUUGCCUCUCACCUCAUAUAAAUGUGACUCACUCUUGGGUGCCGGCACACCCAGGGUUCCCGGAGUCACACCUCCGCUCUCUCUCCCACCUGAUCGGCCCCGGCCCCCUGUUCUUUUUCCCGGGUUGCCCUUUCUGUUCCCGCUCCAAAUCCCCAAAUUCCUCAAGGCUCCUUCUCUGCCCUUGGCUGACUCUAACUAGGCGACCUCGUCCUAAUCUAUGGCUCCAACUGUCACGCCCUGCAAUUUCCAAACCCGCAUCACUAGCCUGGACCUCGGCUCAAGCAACAGCUUCCCACUGGACGUGGCCACCUGGACGCCUCGCAAGCCCAAGGUCAGCACGCCUAAACCCAACACCCGCUCUGUCUGUGCCUUCCUGUCUCCAUCGCAGGGGACCGCCCUCUCUUCUCAGGAGGCACGUUAGAAUCACGACCCAUUCACCUCGUCUGGCCGGUCACCGAAUCCUGAAGCUUCUGCCAUCUUGAGGUUCUCUUUGUGACACUCGCCCCUCUCCCCCCCGCCAUUUGCACUGCCCUGGCUCCACGUCUCAACGCUUCCCUCCUGGAUGUCACCAAAAGCCACUUACUGGAGCCCUGCCUCCAGCCGGCCCCCUCUACAGCUCAGCCUCACUCUAUCCACCACACUGCUGCCA